AGAAUACAUUUGAGCCAAGGAUGACUUGCCGGCAAAAGGCUCUAUGGAGAGUAAACCUUCAAAUUCUAGUCUUCAAAAAAUAUUUGAGUUCAUGAGGACUAGUUAAUUUGAGGGUUUUACUCUUUUGAGGGUGUUGCUGGCGAGACAUCUUGGCUCACUUUUGUUCUCU
rnacentral:pre_miRNA from 1 species